GACGAACGCUGGCGGCGUGCUUAACACAUGCAAGUCGAACGGAAAGGCCCUGCUUUUGUGGGGUGCUCGAGUGGCGAACGGGUGAGUAACACGUGAGUAACCUGCCCUUGACUUUGGGAUAACUUCAGGAAACUGGGGCUAAUACCGGAUAGGAGCCCCUGCUGCAUGGUGGGGGUUGGAAAGUUUCGGCGGUUGGGGAUGGACUCGCGGCUUAUCAGCUUGUUGGUGGGGUAGUGGCUUACCAAGGCUUUGACGGGUAGCCGGCCUGAGGGGGUGACCGGCCACAUUGGGACUGAGAUACGGCCCAGACUCCUACGGGAGGCAGAAGUGGGGAAUAUUGCACAAUGGGCGGAAGCCUGAUGCAGCAACGCCGCGUGCGGGAUGACGGCCUUCGGGUUGUAAACCGCUUUCGCCUGUGACGAAGCGUGAGUGACGGUAAUGGGUAAAGAAGCACCGGCUAACUACGUG
rnacentral:rRNA from 1 species